GAACUUUGAAGAAACUUACGAAGAUCUUUUGAACAUGGAUAAAGCUGUAGAUGUGUCGGCGUAUUUCUACGGCGUGAAAGAGGACGUGAGCGCGGACUACAGGGACCUGGCGUUGUUCCUGGGCAUCACGGACACGCGCAACAUCGAGAGCCGGAACCCAGACGCCACGUCCUGCUGCUUGGAUGUGUUACAGACCUGGAAGCGGGCGAAGGGAGACGAGGCAACCGUGGAG